GGAAUCUUCCACAAUGGACGCAAGUCUGAUGGAGCAACGCCGCGUGAGUGAAGAAGGUUUUCGGACCGUAAAGCUCUGUUGUUGGUGAAGAAGGAUAGAGGUAGUAACUGGCCUUUAUUUGACGGUAAUCAACCAGAAAGUCACGGCUAACUACGUGCCAGCAGCCGCGGUAAUACGUAGGUGGCAAGCGUUGUCCGGAUUUAUUGGGCGUAAAGCGAGCGCAGGCGGAAGAAUAAGUCUGAUGUGAAAGCCCUCGGCUUAACCGAGGAAUUGCAUCGGAAACUGUUUUCUUGAGUGCAGAAGAGGAGAGUAGAACUCCAUGUGUAGCGGUGGAAUGCGUAGAUAUAUGGAAGAAUACCAGUGGCGAAGGCGGCUCUCUGGUCUGCAACUGACGCUGAGGCUCGAAAGCAUGGGUAGCGAACAGGAUUAGAUACCCUGGUAGUCCAUGCCGUAAACGAUGAGUGCUAAGUGUUGGGAGGCUUCCGCCUCUCAGUGCUGCAGUUAACGCAUUAAGCACUCCGCCUGGGGGAGUACGACCGCAAGGUUGAAAC
rnacentral:rRNA from 1 species